GUGACUGUGAGAUCGGUGCUUUUAUCGGUUGAGAAUCGCGUAUUAUUAAUUCGUUUUAUGAAGAUUAAAUUACGUAUAUUCUCUGCCCGCUACCCUGCUCUUACGUAGAUGUAAAUUAUCGUGAAAUCUAUAAUCAGAUAUGAUCGACGUAUAAAAUCAAUGUCGUUUGGUACAUUCAUUGAGCUGUAAAGUUAAAAUUGGAUACUGUAACGAUAAGUGUUACCAGAAGCCUAGGCUCAGACACGGAUUAUGGGGGUCUUAUCCUUUCAGAUAAUGAAAUAAAUGUUUGUAAACACUUGGCGAAAAAAAUUAUUUACGAUUUGUUAAUGCUAUUUAAACGAAUUAAACCGUUUAAAAUUAUAUAGAAGU